rnacentral:ncRNA from 2 species
GGGUGUGAGGGGAGGGUCCCCGCGCAGGUUGAAGGGGAAUGGUCGGGCCGCCAUUC